CUACGGGCGGCAGCAGUGGGGAAUAUUGGACAAUGGGGGAAACCCUGAUCCAGCAAUGCCGCGUGUGUGAAGAAGGCCUGCGGGUUGUAAAGCACUUUCGGUUGGGAGGACUGCUUCUAGCACUAAUAUUGUUGGAAGUUGACGUUACCUUCAGAAGAAGCACCGGCUAACUCCGUGCCAGCAGCCGCGGUAAUACGGAGGGUGCAAGCGUUAAUCGGAAUUACUGGGCGUAAAGCGCGCGUAGGCGGCUAGAUCAGUCGGGUGUGAAAGCCCCGGGCUUAACCUGGGAACUGCAUCCGAUACUGUCUAGCUUGAGUACAGGAGAGGAGAGUGGAAUUCCACAUGUAGCGGUGAAAUGCGUAGAUAUGUGGAGGAACACCAAUGGCGAAGGCAGCUCUCUGGCCUGAUACUGACGCUGAGGUGCGAAAGCGUGGGGAUCAAACAGGAUUAGAUCCCCGUAGUC
rnacentral:rRNA from 1 species